rnacentral:rRNA from 1 species
GAUGAACGCUAGCGGCGUGCCUAAUACAUGCAAGUCGAACGCGAGAGGAGGGAGCUUGCUCCCUCUGAUCGAGUGGCGGACGGGUGAGUAACACGUAGGCAACCUGCCCAUCAGUCCGGGAUAACCGCGGGAAACCGUGGCUAAUACCGGAUGAUCCUCUCCACCGCGGGGUGGGGAGUUGAAAGACGGUUUCGGCUGUCGCUGAUGGAUGGGCCUGCGGCGCAUUAGCUGGUUGGCGGGGUAACGGCCCACCAAGGCAACGAUGCGUAGCCGGCCUGAGAGGGUGAGCGGCCACACUGGGACUGGGACACGGCCCAGACUCCUACGGGAGGCAGCAGUAGGGAAUCUUCCGCAAUGGACGCAAGUCUGACGGGGCAACGCCGCGUGAGUGAAGAAGGGCUUCGGCUCGUAAAACUCUGUUGUUAAGGAAGAACGACAGGUAGAGUAACUGCUACCUGUGUGACGGUACUUAACCAGAAAGCCACGGCUAACUACGUGCCAGCCGCCGCGGUAA